GAUGAACGCUAGCGGCAGGCCUAAUACAUGCAAGCUGAACGGUAAAUGUUGUAGCAAUACGAUAUGAGAGUAGCGUAAGGGUGCGUAACACGUAUGCAAUCUGCCCGCAACAGGAGGAUAGCUCCCCGAAAGGGGAAUUAAUACUCCAUAAGAUCACGAAAGGGCAUAUGAUUGUGAUUAAACUCCAAGGGGUUGCGGAUGAGCAUGCGUCUGAUUAGCUAGUUGGUGAGGUAACGGCUCACCAAGGCGAUGAUCAGUAGGGGAACUGAGAGGUUGAUCCCCCACACUGGCACUGAGAUACGGGCCAGACUCCUACGGGAGGCAGCAGUAGGGAAUAUUGGUCAAUGGGUGAGAGCCUGAACCAGCCAUGCCGCGUGCAGGAAGACGGCCUUCUGGGUUGUAAACUGCUUUUGUCAGGGGAUAAAAUACCCGUGCGCGGGGAAUUGAAGGUACCUGAUGAAUAAGCCACGGCUAACUACGUGCCAGCCGCCGCCGUAAAAC
rnacentral:rRNA from 1 species